GACGAACGCUGGCGGCGUGCCUAAUACAUGCAAGUCGAACGCUUCUUUCCUCCCGAGUGCUUGCACUCAAUUGGAAAGAGGAGUGGCGGACGGGUGAGUAACACGUGGGUAACCUACCCAUCAGAGGGGGAUAACACUUGGAAACAGGUGCUAAUACCGCAUAACAGUUUAUGCCGCAUGGCAUAAGAGUGAAAGGCGCUUUCGGGUGUCGCUGAUGGAUGGACCCGCGGUGCAUUAGCUAGUUGGUGAGGUAACGGCCCACCAAGGCCACGAUGCAUAGCCGACCUGAGAGGGUGAUCGGCCACACUGGGACUGAGACACGGCCCAGACUCCUACGGGAGGCAGCAGUGGGGAAUCUUCGGCAAAGGACGAAAGUCUGACCGAGCAACGCCGCGUGAGUGAAGAAGGUUUUCGGAUCGUAAAACUCUGUUGUUAGAGAAGAACAAGGACGUUAGUAACUGAACGUCCCCUGACGGUAUCUAACCAGAAAGCCACGGCUAACUACGUG
rnacentral:rRNA from 1 species